ensembl:lncRNA
CUUUCUCACAGCACCCUUCAGCAAAAUAGAUAUCGUGGAGUAGGAAACUGCACGAGUAUGUAAAAGAAAGGAAUUCAGCUUCCAGUACUUUUUUUUUUUAAGUCUAACUUUACGAGGUAGAAGGGUUUCAAAAUACGUGCUUAAUUUAUAUUACACAAACUUGCAAGUUGCAAUGGUUUUCUAUUAACAAAAGAAAAUUAAAUUGUAACUCCUAUACUUAGUGGUUAACACCUGAAAUUAAGUUAGACUGAGUUCUAAACACUGUGCUUUUUUUAACCAGCUUGCAGAGUGUGACCACAGUUACAAACCACAAACCCAAAACCAGCUCAGAAGAAAGUGAAGUAGUUAGUGUUCAGGAGCAAGAAGGGAUUAUGUCUUCAUUUGAAUUAGCAGCACAGUCUUCAAAAGCAAAUCAGGCAACAGCAGUGAAAAGUUUGCCUUCUUCACCAGAAUCGUCAUUGUCACCAGCUCCAUCUACACAGACACAGCUCACAGAAGGAUCACAUUUCAUGUGUGUAUAGUUACAGAGAAGUACGUCUUUUCUUUUUUUUUCCACUCCUCCUGCCAUUUUCCUAAUAUUUUUCUAAGUAUAUGUAUUCUAGUUAUUUUUCCAAGAAACAUCUGUAGACCAUACUUGGCAAGACAAAGUUAUCUAACAAUGCUGAAUAUAAACUAGAAAACAAAACGCAUACCUGUAUGUAUUUGCUUGCAAGUAAUAUAUUCUCUAAGUACUAAGAGAAAAGACUAAUUGGCUUAUCAAGCACGUUCUCCACAACUGUCAAGAUAAUAGCCUUUUGAACUACAUGAGAGACCUAAGAUAUUACAAAACAGAUACCCAGUUAAGCUAUGAGUAUCAGUGAUCAGGUGCAAAUGAAUCUUGAUGCUUCAGUUGUGGUAAUAGGCAACUAGAGCUAGAUGUCUUAGUGAUUCGUAGGAGGGAAUGGUCUAAUGGCCCAAAGAGUUUAUAGCUUAAGACAUAGAUGACUGAGGCAUGAGAAACAGGAAGGGAAAAAAUGAGGGUAGAAGAAAUAUAACAAUUACAAAACAUUUUUUUUCUUUCUAUAGAGAUAGCCCUAUACAACUUUUCUUCCCUUGUCGUAGUAGGUGAUUUCUUCUAGGAAACAAGUUAAAAAGCAUGAGUUAGGCUAGAUUUACAUGUUUAUACUUGUAGUGUUACCUACUUAAUGAAUAGAAAUGGAAAUGGAAGUAAGCAUAUUUGCUUAUAAAAGUGUUUAAAGAAAUUAAUAGGAUACCAAUGUGAAUGCUUCAGCACUUUACCAGCAUUUAAAUCAAUCCACGUUUCUUUGUUGUCAGGAAGUACCUAUUUAAAUAAGCUUUCUAAUAAAAGAAUGAACUUUGUUUCAAUGGUAAUGUUAAAUGCCAUAGCUAAUGUAACUUAAGAAGACUUUAAAAUCAAGUAAACUUUAAAAUUGAGACAUUUUCAGUCAUUUAGCAUGAGGAGAACUGAAAAUGCAUUUUUUCAUUUACUGUCCCAAUCUGCAUUGGCAAGCUUUCAUCUUGGCAAAAUUAGACUUAUUAUUCAUCACAGAUAGCUUUCUUGUAUGAACUAUAGGCAGGAAACUACUCAUAUUCUAAAAAAAAAAAGAAAGGGGGGGGAAUUAUUUUUAUCUUUUUCUCCUUUUGAGAGUAGAAAAUGCACUCUUCACAUUCAACGCUGACACCUGUGUUGCUGGCUUCCUGAUGGAUGUGGUCUGUCAGGAUUAGAUUUAGCUUGGACUUUUGUACUUUUAUUCAAAAGCUUUAUUACAGAACUUAAAAAAGAUAAAUGGGACUAUUGAGUUUUUCUGGAAAUACUGAUUUGUGUUAAUACUUUUCAGUUUCACUGUAUAAAUACACGUGCAUUUAUCAUGCAUCUCCUUUUCAAAUAGGACAAACAUUACCCCAUCAACUCAGUUUCAGGUCAGUAGUGAAACUGAAACUGCACUGCUGAAUUCUGUCCAUAGCCACGGUGUGCCUGUCUUGAAAGGAGAAGCCGCCUAUAACUUCACCAGGAAUCUAUUACCAAUUGCAUUAA